rnacentral:lncRNA from 1 species
GCCAGAAUAGAAGUGAUGCUUUUAGCAGUUUUGUCUCUCUUCUAACAAACCAUUAGCCACAAUUGUAUCUUAGAGUACACACGUAAUUUUCAAGAUAGCACCUAAGGGCCAGGCAGGGUGACCCAUGCCUGUAAUCCCAGCACUUUGGGAGGCCAAGGUGGGUGGAUCACAAGGUCAGGAGAUCGAGACCAUCCUGGCUGACAUGGUGAAACCCCAUCUCUACUAAAAAUACAAAAAAUUAGCUGGGUGUGGUGGUGCAUGCCUGUAGUCCCAGCUACUCGGAGGCUGAGACA